rnacentral:rRNA from 1 species
UACAGAGGGUGCGAGCGUUAAUCGGAAUUACUGGGCGUAAAGCGCGUGUAGGCGGCUUUGCAAGUCGGGUGUGAAAGCCCUCAGCUCAACUGAGGAAGUGCGCCCGAAACUGCAGAGCUUGAGUGCCGGAGAGGGUGGCGGAAUUCCCCAAGUAGAGGUGAAAUUCGUAGAUAUGGGGAGGAACACCGGUGGCGAAGGCGGCCACCUGGACGGUAACUGGACGCUGAGGAGCGAAAGCAUGGGGAGCGAACAGG